rnacentral:miRNA from 1 species
CUGCAACCAGGAGCCUGGAACUCAAUGUGGGUUUCCCAUGUUGAUGACGGAGAUCCAAGUUUUGAAGCAUUAUUUGCUGCUUUCAGAAACGGAAGUGAAA